rnacentral:piRNA from 3 species
UAAUGAUUUUGACUUCACGGUAACUG